UAUACAUACACACACAUAUAU
rnacentral:miRNA from 1 species